rnacentral:rRNA from 1 species
UAUGGUAGUGCCAGCCGCCGCGGUAAUACGUAGGGGGCAAGCGUUAUCCGGAAUUACUGGGUGUCAAGGGUGCGUAGGUGGUAUGGCAAGUCAGAAGUGAAAACCCAGGGCUUAACUCUGGGACUGCUUUUGAAACUGUCAGACUGGAGUGCAGGAGAGGUAAGCGGAAUUCCUAGUGUAGCGGUGAAAUGCGUAGAUAUUAGGAGGAACAUCAGUGGCGAAGGCGGCUUACUGGACUGAAACUGACACUGAGGCACGAAAGCGUGGGGAGCAAACAGG